rnacentral:rRNA from 1 species
GCGGUCGAGCCUGAUACAUGCAAGUCUAGCGGACAGAUGGGAGCUUGCUCCCUGAUGUUAGCGGCGGACGGGUGAGUAACACGGGGGUAACCUGCCUGUAAGACUGGGAUAACUCCGGGAAACCGGGGCUAAUACCGGAUGGUUGUUUGAACCGCAUGGUUCAAAACAUAGGUGGCUUUGGCUACCACUUACAGAUGGACCCGCGGCGCAUUAGCUAGUUGGUGAGGUAACGGCUGCCAAGGCAACGAUGCGUAGCCGACCUGAGAGGGUGAUCGGCCACACUGGGACUGAGACACGGCCCAGACUCCUACGGGAGGCAGCAGUAGGGAAUCUUCCGCAAUGGACGAAAGUCUGACGGAGCAACGCCGCGUGAGUGAUGAAGGUUUUCGGAUCGUAAAGCUCUGUUGUUAGGGAAGAACAAGUACCGUUCGAAUAGGGCGGUACCUUGACGGUACCUAACCAGAAAGCCACGGCUUUCUACGUGCCAGCAGCCGCGGUAAUACGUAGGUGGCAAGCGUUGUCCGGAAUUAUUGGGCGUAAAGGGCUCGCAGGCGGUUUCUUAAGUCUGAUGUGAAAGCCCCCGGCUCAACCCGGGGAGGGUCAUUGGAAACUGGGGAAC